AUUGAACGCUGGCGGCAGGCCUAACACAUGCAAGUCGAACGAGCGGCGGACGGGUGAGUAAUGUCUGGGAAACUGCCUGAUGGACGGGGAUAACUACUGGAAACGGUAUCUAAUACCGCAUACCAUCGGAUGUGCCCAGAUGGGAUUAGCUAGUAGGUGGGGUAAAGGCUCAUCUAGGCGACGAUCCCCAGCUGGUCUGAGGGGAUGACCAGCCACACUGGAACUGAGACACGAUCCAUACUCCUACGGGAGGCAGCAGUGGGGAAUAUUGCACAAUGGGCGCAAGCCUGAUGCAGCCAUGCCGCGUGUGUGAAGAAGGCCUUCGGGUUGUAAAGUACUUUCAGCGGGGAGGCGUUACUCGCAGAAGAAGCACCGGCUAACUCCGUGCCAGCCGCCGCGGUAAUAC
rnacentral:rRNA from 1 species